UUUACUGUUCCAGAGCAAUACAGCUUAAAUAUUUGUGUGCUGCGCAUUUACUUGUUUCCUGAACAUGUGAGAGUACAAGACUGGAUGUGCACAAAGGCUUCGUCUAAAAAAGUGGAGCAAUUUCAACUUUGCAAGUCUGGCUCUUCUGAUUCACAGCCUGUAAGUACUCUAUGUUUUGAAGACAAUUCAAAGGCGAGGUACAAUUAGCAACAGAAUAUUGGCCUUUAAAAUAUAUUAUUUUGUGUUCAACAGAAUGAUGAAACACAUACGGGUUUAGAACAACAUAAGGAGUUUGAAGGCUGACUCUCCAUUUAUUUGCUUGUGCAGGGACCGAUUAGAGAACAUGCAAAUAAAAAAGGAACGAGAUGAUUGAAGCCGAUUGAAGCGCAUAUCAGGUACGAGUCGCUACUGCUCACUUACAGAACUUUCGCUGGGACCGCACCGGCAUACUUUCAGCUUCAUACAUUCCCAAACCCAAACCAGAACCUUACGAUCAGCAAAUGAGCGACGCCUUGUGUUACCGUCACAAAGGGACGCUAAAUCACGUUCCCGCUCACUUUUUCCUGCUGGUGAAUGACCUUCCUAUUGCAAUCCGGUCAGCCACAUCCCUUAUAACAUUUAAAAAACUAUUAAAAACCCAUCUUUACAAA